AACGCACACACACAUAAAGGAAAAAUAACCUGUAUAGGAACGAGAGAGAAAGAAAGAAACAAAAGACGGAAGAAAUGGGGGAGGAAAGGAAAGCGCAGCCUGGCGAGAAAUAAAGUAACUACGAAUUGAAUUAAGACGAGACGGCAGCGCCACGAUGCAUACUAACGGCGAUGUCCGGAAGUUGUAUACGGGCUUUAAUCCGCGCAUGCGCGUCGAAGAGAUAUUUCUCGUAUACCACCACCGUGCCGUCCCGCCGCCUGCGGACGAACCGAAAUAAAUCGAACGACGCCGAGUCGAUCAGCAGCGGAGUAAAGGUGCUUCGGUGGACGCGACCGUUUUUCGCGUUUAGUGAUGAUCAGGACGAGCCGUUGUUGUUUUCGUCGACGUUUUUAUUCGUGGCACUGCGCUAAAACGAAGUAGCAGCCACCAACACCAAGGACCACGACGACGAGCGCGAUAAAUAAAUAAUAUUUCAUCCUGAUAAUUCACAAAAUAGGAGAAAAAUAAUAAGAAUAACAAGAGGAGGAGAAGGAGGAGGAGGAGGAAGAGGAAGAGGAAGAGGAAGAAGAAGAGGAAGAAGAAGAAGAAGAAGAGAAAGAAGAGGAAGAGGAAGAAGAGGAGCGAACGACGAACAACGAACGAACGAGAAGGAACGAGGACACGCGCUUCGUCGCUCGUCGCUGUCGCGGCCACGGAUGCAUAUGGAGGUGUCCCCGAACCGGCGCUGUCUGAACCAGCUCAACAGCUGAUCGGAGUACGAAGCGGCGGUGAACGGGGCCACUAUUGCACCACCACCCCGCAUAUUUGCAAGAGAUCGGAACCGAUAUAAUCGUUGAGGAGUAACGAGAGAUCUUAAAGGCCACGUUCGAAAGAAGUUGUGGGAGAUUGAAAGAAAGAGAGAGAAGUGAAAAGAAGUGAGAGAGAUAACGAGAGAAAUCAAGAAGAG